AAUCAAGCAGGAUCCCUUUAAUGGUGAAGCAUGAUGGGAUCACUGUCCAGAGAAUGAAAAGCAGCCAUUCCAGAGCCCCUUUACUUUGAUGUGUGCUCAGCUUUCACGUGGAAAGUUUUUCAAUAAGCUCCAUCCAGCCAAGAGAAUUCUGGGUCUGUUAACAGGAUAUUUACUUUGAGGCAUUCUGGGAUGAUGCUGUGACACUACUAGGUCAUGUGGUCAUGCCACCUGGUACUAAACACCAUCUUGAACUUCUAGUAAUUUUCCACUAAAAGAAGCGGGAGGUCAAGACUGGGAAACAAAAGAGUGGGAAGUAAGCUGAUCUUGGUUCACUCUUCACUGAAUCCCCACCAAGGAUGACUGCUGGAGACACUUAAGGAACAAGGACAAAGGGAAAGGAGGAGUUAGUACUGAAUCCAGGCUGGAAAAGGGAUCUGGUCCGUGAAUAAGAUACCUGAAGAAUUAAGCUGAAAGCAGAGUAGCUAACCUUCAAGAAUUUCUGCAACCUGCCCCAAAAGCAACAU